GGUGGACCCCGCGCGGCGUUCAUCCUGUGAACUCCCCCAGGGCCGGAAGGCAGCAAGGGUCAACGGGCUCUAGCGGGUGCGCGGGGUCCCCACCU
rfam:Mycobacterium shimoidei strain HMC_M2 PROKKA_contig000022, whole genome shotgun sequence.